rnacentral:piRNA from 1 species
UAUUUUAUAACAUUUAGAUAGAGCCU